ACACACUCUCCAUUCUCACAGUCUCACUGCAACUUCUUUGCCAUAUUCUUCUCUCUAAAACAUUUUCAUUUUUUUUUUCGUUUUCUUUCAUUUUCCACUCUCUCUUUGACCAACCUCAAGAAAUUGGUACUAAAGUUCUUCCCUUUCUGUUUCAGUGUUUGUUACCCUUCACUUUCUAGGAUUUUAUUGUGUGGACUGAAUGCAACAAUUGAAGAAUAGAAUGGCUGUUCAGGGUUCUGAUAAGUUAAAGGUAAAGUUUCGUGGUCGCCACUUAACAUCAUCGUCUGCAAAAAGUACAUUGCAUUCAGAAAUGAAGAAGUCAGUUUCUUAUAAUGACCCUGAUUAUGAUGAUGAUGUUCCAUUGUCGGUAAGGUUAUCCCGGAUGCCGAAUUCUGGAACACCGAGUAGUAACUCUGCUGUUCCUAUUAAGCCGAGUAGUAACUCUGCUGUUCCUAUUAAGCCGAGUAGUCACUCUGCUGUUCCUAUUAAGAAGAGGCGUACUACAACUACAAGGCCAUUGGCAGUUAAGAGGCCAUUUGAUAACAGCAGUUUGUUGAACAAAUGUGUUAAGAAAUCAAAGGUGGCACCAUAUGAUCAUCGAGAUAAAGAUAAAGAUGGUACUCCUUUGUUGAGGAGAACUGAAAUGCCGGUUAAGAAAUUGGAGUCCAUACAGAGAGUUAAUGAGAAGGAACUUAGUUGCGUUGAAAGAAAUAACGAAACUCACAAGAAAGUGGACGAAAAAAAUGGAGAACGUGUCAGGGAUUUUUUAGUAAAGGAAGCGCAACUUGGUUUGAUGGACGAAUUGAUUAGCGAGCGCAAGCAAGAACUUAAGGAACAUGAAACAAAACUUCGUCAAGUCAUGGAUGACAUUGGUAAGGUUUGUGAAAGGAAGGAAGAGUGUACUGCGGAACUUGAGAUCAAAGAGAGACAGCUUGAUGCAAUAAAAAAACAAGUUGAUGAACAAGCAGAAAGAUUAAAGUCGGAAAAUAAAGCUUUAUUGAAGAUAAUGCAAAUAAAUAAGAAUGAUCCACGUGCUCAAAUGAAGGAAUUUGAGUCAACGAAGAAGCAAUUUGAAGAGAAGAUUAGGAAGCUAGAAUCAGAAAAGAAGCAAUUUGAAGAGCGGGUUAAGGAGCUAGAAUCAGAAAAGAAGCAAUUCGAAGGGCAAUUGGAGAAUCUCCGGCUGCUUCAGGACCAAGUAAAGGAAUUAAAAUCAAUGGGGGAUGAAUUUGAAGGCCAGGUGAAAGAAUUUGAAUCAAAAGAGGAGGAAUUGAAAGCUCAAAUGCAGAAGCUCCGAUCAAAAGAAAAGCAACUUCAAAUCCGAGAGAAGGAGGUAGAAUCAGAAAAGAAGCAACUCGAAGGCCGAAUAAAGAACUUUGAUUCAAAAGGAAAGCAACUUGAAAUCCGGGAGAAGGAGGUAGAAUCAGAAAAGAAGCAACUCAAAGGGAAAUUCAAGGAGCUCUGGUCAAAAGAGGAGGAAUUCAAAGCUCGAAUGCAGGAUCUCCGAUCAAACGAAAAGCGGCUUGAAGGCCAAGUGAAGGAAUUUAAAUCGAAGGAGGACGAAUUUGAAGGCCGAAUAAAGAAGCUUGAUUCAAAAGAAAAGCAACUUGAAAUCCGAGAGAAGGAGGUAGAAUCAGAAACAAAGCAACUUGAAGGCCGAAUAAAGACGUUUGAUUCAAAAGAAAAGCAACUUGAAAUCCGGGAGAAGGAGGUAGAAUCAAAAAAGAAGCAAUUCGAAGGCCGAAUACAGGAAUUUGAUUUAGAAGAAAAGCAACUUAAAAUCCAGGUUAAGGAACUAGAAUCAAAAAAGGAGCUAUUUGAAGGGAAACUCAAGGAGCUCUGGUCAAAAGAGGAGGAAUUCAAAGCUCGAAUGCAGGAGCUCAAGCGUUUUGUAAGCCAAAUGGAGGAUUUCAAAUCAGAAGGGAAACACUUUGAAGGACAGGGGAAAGAACUUGAGUCAGAAGACGAGAAGUUGAAAGAGAAGUGGCUUGAGUUUGAUGGACACGUGAAGGAUCUUGAAUCAAAGCCAAAUAAAUUUGAUGGACAACUGAAGCGGCCUUGUUCAAGAGAGAAGCAAUAUGAUGCUUUAAUAGAACUAUUCGACGAAGAAGCAGAAUUGGGUAAUCAAUCAAGUCCCAUCAUUGAGGAAAAUGAUAAAUUUGAGUUGGCUGACAGUGACACUAAAGUUAAUCUGCAAGGAGUAUCAAAUCCAUCAAAAGUUGUUUUGGAAAUAAUACUGCAUCCCACUAUUGAAAAUUGUAAGAUGGGAGACAAUGAUGUGAUUAUCAGUGAUAGCCACAUUCUUCUGCUCGAACAACUGAUGAGAAUGUCACCGCAUAUUGAACCUGAUGUAAGAAAAGAAGCAUUGGAACUAGCACUUGAUUUGAAAGCUAACGCGGAAGAAAAUAAUGAAAAUUAUGUGUCGGUUCUUGGUUUUCUACUCCUUCUGUCAAUUUAUGGAUUGCUUCCUUCUUUCGAUGAAGAUGACGUUUUAAAGUUUUUUGGACUUGUUUCUGAGCACAACAUAGCUAUAGAACUGUUUAGAGCCAUGGGUUUUGCAGAUAAAAUAUCUGAUUUUGUUGCCGGUCUUAUCAAGAGACAUCAAUAUGUUGAAGCUGUUAGAUUCAGUUGUGCAUUUAACUUAAGUGACAAUAAUCAACUACUUGAUCUCUUGCGAGAACAUGUGAAGAAUGCAAAACUGAUUUCUGAGAGCAGUUGCAACAAAACUAACUCCAUUGAAACUAAGGAUAAGGCCAGAGAUCAAGAAAUUGCUAGUCUGGAAACUGUUCUACGAUGCCUUUCAGAUAAUAACCUACAAUUUGAGGAUCUACUUAACGAAGUUGACAAUCGCAUUCUUGAGCUAAGGAGUCAGAAAGGCAUGUAGAUUUUGUGUAGAAUCUUAUCAGGAAGCAGCAACAUACUGAAACUGUAAGAUUCAUUUGUGCAUAUGGUAACUUGGCCUACAAAUAAAGGCAACUAACUUCAUUAAAAUCAAGGACAAAGCCAUUCUAUAUUUUGUGGAUCUACUUAACCAGACUCAAAGUAGGAUUAUUGAGCUAAAUAAAUAGAUAGAAGGGUAAAUAGCAGUUGUAUUGGAAGCAAGGUCAUCCUCCAAAUGUUCAAUGUAAAAAUGAAUUAACCCAAUUUUCUCUAUUCCACUCUGUCCAAAUGUUCAAUGUAAAAGUGAAUUAACACAAUUUUCUCUAUUCCACUCUGUUGAAAUAUUGUAAUAAUUGUUCAGAUACUAUUCCUUUUUAGUUGAUUUUCCCCCUUUAGGGAUUGAGUAGGUUAAGAAUCAUGUAUAUAUGCUUAA